rnacentral:rRNA from 1 species
UACAGAGGGUGCGAGCGUUAAUCGGAAUUACUGGGCGUAAAGCGUGCGUAGACGGUUGCGUAAGUCAGAUGUGAAAGCCCCGGGCUCAACCUGGGAAUGGCAAUGGAUACUGGCAGGCUAGAGUGCGGUAGAGGGUAGUGGAAUUCCCGGUGUAGCGGUGAAAUGCGUAGAGAUCGGGAGGAACACCAGUGGCGAAGGCGGCUACCUGGACCAGCACUGACACUGAGGCACGAAAGCGUGGGGAGCAAACAGG